rnacentral:rRNA from 1 species
UGAGGAAUAUUGGUCAAUGGGCGAGAGCCUGAACCAGCCAAGUAGCGUGCAGGAUGACGGCCCUAUGGGUUGUAAACUGCUUUUAUAUGGGAAUAAAGUGAGGGACGUGUCCCUUAUUGCAUGUACCAUACGAAUAAGGACCGGCUAAUUCCGUGCCAGCAGCCGCGGUAAUACGGAAGGUCCAGGCGUUAUCCGGAUUUAUUGGGUUUAAAGGGAGCGUAGGCUGUUUGUUAAGCGUGUUGUGAAAUGUAAGAGCUCAACUUUUAGAUUGCAGCGCGAACUGUCAGACUUGAGUGCGCACAACGUAGGCGGAAUUCAUGGUGUAGCGGUGAAAUGCUUAGAUAUCAUGAAGAACUCCGAUUGCGAAGGCAGCUUACGGGAGCGCAACUGACGCUGAAGCUCGAAGGUGCGGGUAUCGAACAGG